GAAAGCCCGGGGCUUAACCCCGGGUCUGCAUCCGAUACGGGCAGGCUAGAGUGUGGUAGGGGAGAUCGGAAUUCCUGGUGUAGCGGUGAAAUGCGCAGAUAUCAGGAGGAACACCGGUGGCGAAGGCGGAUCUCUGGGCCAUUACUGACGCUGAGGAGCGAAAGCGUGGGGAGCGAACAGGAUUAGAUACCCUGGUAGUCCACGCCGUAAACGUUGGGAACUAGGUGUGCGACAUUCCACGUCGUCGGUGCCGCAGCUAACGCAUUAAGUUCCCCGCCUGGGGAGUACGGCCGCAAGGCUAAAACUCAAAGGAAUUGACGGGGGCCCGCACAAGCAGCGGAGCAUGUGGCUUAAUUCGACGCAACGCGAAGAACCUUACCAAGGCUUGACAUAUACCGGAAACAUCCAGAGAUGGGUG
rnacentral:rRNA from 1 species